rnacentral:tRNA from 1 species
GUUUUUAUAGUUUAAAAAAAACAUUUGAUUGUGAAUCUAAAACAGAAGCCAAACCUUCUUUUAACC